UAUUUUAUUCAGCAUUUAAAGUCCAUUAAGUAUAUAAAUAAAUCCUAAAUCUGUGUUUUCACAGGGCUGAAAUGAUCUUGGACCAGUACAGACAGAAAGCCCAGCUGUAUAAGAAUGAUAUUUUACCGGUGCCUUUGGGAGACGACUUUAGAUAUGACAAACUUGAUGAAUGGGACAACCAGUUCAACAACUACCAGUGGCUGUUUGAUCAUAUCAAUGCUAGAGCAGAGUUAAAUGCUGAGCUGCAAUUUGGCACCCUGAAGGACUUUUUCAAUGCUGUGGCACAGAGAUCUUAGCUCGAACCUGAACACGACCUUUUGCCCAAGGACUACCCUGUGCUGAGAGGGGAUUUCUUCACAUAUUCUGAUCGUGAGGACCACUACUGGAGCGGCUAUUUCUCCUCACGCCCCUUCCACAAAAGUCUAGACAGGAUCACGGAGUACCAUUUGAGAGCUGGAGAAAUUGUCGUCUCCUUAGCCAUGGGGUAUGUUCGUAAAUUGGUGUGAACAGUUUCCCGUCAGAACCUGUGAUGAAGAAGGUGUCUGCUCGCAGUAGUUUGGGGCUGUACCAACAUCAUGAUGGAAUUACUGGCACUGCCAAGGACUUUGUGGU